GCUGGGCACGGUGGCGUGUGCCUCUAAUCCAAGUCACUGGGAGGCUGAGGUUGGCGGUUCGAUUGAGCUGCAGAGCUGAGGAGCUCUGAACUGUACCGGACUAUGUUGAACGGUGUCCAUGCUAAGUUCGGUAUCGAUAUGGUGGUUCUGGGGGAGCCUUGGACCACCAGGUCACCAAAAUUAAUAAGGAGAGGUGUAAGGCCCAGGUCGGCAAAACGGAGCACAUUAAUGCAAAACUGACAAACAGUAGUGGGACAUCCGUGAAUUUGUUACAGUGCAGUAUUUUGGGAAAACUGGAGCUGUACAUAAUCUUUU
ensembl:misc_RNA Metazoa_SRP Metazoan signal recognition particle RNA